UACAGAGGGUGCAAGCGUUAAUCGGAAUUACUGGGCGUAAAGGGUGCGUAGGUGGUUUGAUAAGUUAGGUGUGAAAGUCCUGGGCUUAACCUGGGGACUGCGCCUAAUACUGUUGAACUAGAGUACUGUAGAGGAAGGUGGAAUUUCCGGUGUAGCAGUGAAAUGCGUAGAUAUCGGAAGGAACAUCAGUGGCGAAGGCGACUUUCUGGACAGAUACUGACACUGAGGCACGAAAGCGUGGGGAGCAAACAGG
rnacentral:rRNA from 1 species